ensembl:antisense Gm15810 predicted gene 15810
AGAUGCUGUUGGCUUCCAGUAACAGUGGAAGAAAGACUAUUCUGGUAGUUCUCCCAAGCCCAGGGACUGCAGCUUAGCUCCUGCCGGAGACUUGUGGCAUCCUCUAACCCCUCAAAAGAUCGGUAUAGCUGAUAGCAUAACCCUAAACCAGGCUCCCAAUUUUGCAGAAAUGAAAAGUAGAAAGAAAAAAAAAAGAGGCAGCGUCUGCAGAGGAGGAAGAAAGGCGGUUUGCAUGCAGAGGCGGCUUGCAUAUCCUAUGCUUUCAGACCCUGCUCAGUACCAGGAAGUCCCACCUUAGGCUUUCAAACCAGCUAUCAGCCUGCCUGCCUCUGGAAGGACAUUCUUGGUCAAGCACUUAGUGGUACAUCUUGCCUCUAUUACAAACUACAUUUUUGAAGGCUUGUGUAUUGGAGCUGAAGAGAUACCUCAGCAGUUAGGAGCACUGGCUACUAUUCCAGAAGAUGCAGGUUCAAUGCUCAGCACCCACAUGGCAGUUCACAACCAGAGGUAACUUCAUUCCUGGAGAGAAAUUUGGAAGCACAUGUCAAGAAACAGGGAACUAAAAGUCACCCAGGAUUCCACCCAUAUAGACACAGCUACAGAUUCUCAGAACUCCCCCUUCUGCAAGAAUAUCACAGCCUAGAAAGCCCACAAGUGUGGAUUUGAAGUGACACUAACAC